UUGAACGCUGGCGGUAGGCUUAACACAUGCAAGUCGAGCGAGAAAGUAUCUUCGGAUAUGAGUAGAGCGGCGGACGGGUGAGUAACGCGUAGGAAUCUACCUAGUAGAAGGGGAUAGCCCGGGGAAACUCGGAUUAAUACCGUAUACCUCCUAAGGGAGAAAGAGGGCCUCUCUUGAUGCUCUCGCUAUUAGAUGAGCCUGCGUAAGAUUAGCUUGUUGGUGAGGUAAUGGCUUACCAAGGCUACGAUCUUUAGCUGGUCUGAGAGGACGAUCAGCCACAUUGGGACUGAGACACGGCCCAGACUCCUACGGGAGGCAGCAGUGGGGAAUAUUGGACAAUGGGCGCAAGCCUGAUCCAGCCAUACCGCGUGUGUGAAGAAGGCCUUCGGGUUGUAAAGCACUUUAAGCAGGGAGAAAAAGUUAUAAGUUAAUACCUUAUAACCGUGAUGUUACCUGCAGAAUAAGCACCGGCUAAUUCCGUGCC
rnacentral:rRNA from 1 species